rnacentral:rRNA from 1 species
AUGUUCCAGAGGAAAAAAGCGCCGGUGCUGCUGCUCAAGAUUGACAUCGCAAAAGCCUUCGAUUCGGUCUCCUGGGAGUAUCUGUUAGAGCUGUUGCAGCACUUAAAUUUCCCGGCACGCUGGAGAGACUGGAUUGCUCUGCUCCUCUCCACCGCCUCCUCAGCAUGCACACUCAACGGUGACCUAGGACAAGCCAUCAUGCACCAGCGCGGGCUGCGGCAGGGGGACCCGCUAUCGCCACUCCUCUUCAUCCUGGCGAUCGACCCCCUUCACCGGUUGCUG